AACUUUUAAUAACGGAUCUCUUAGUUUUAGCAUUAAUAAAGAACGCAGCGAAAUACGAUAAGUAAUGUAAAUUGUAGAAUUUAGUAAACUAUCGAAUCUUUAAACGUAUAUUACGCCGCUAGCACUCUAGCGGGCAUGCCUGUCCGAGCGUUACC
rnacentral:rRNA from 1 species